rnacentral:rRNA from 1 species
ACACGAGUGGCGAACGGGUGAGUAACACGUGGGUAAUCUGCCCUGCACUUCGGGAUAAGCCUGGGAAACCGGGUCUAAUACCGGAUAUGAACUCCUGCCGCAUGGUGGGGGUUGGAAAGUUUUUCGGUGCAGGAUGAGCCCGCGGCCUAUCAGCUUGUUGGUGGGGUAAUGGCCUACCAAGGCGACGACGGGUAGCCGGCCUGAGAGGGUGAUCGGCCACACUGGGACUGAGACACGGCCCAGACUCCUACGGGAGGCAGCAGUGGGGAAUAUUGCACAAUGGGCGAAAGCCUGAUGCAGCGACGCCGCGUGGGGGAUGACGGUCUUCGGAUUGUAAACCCCUUUCAGUAGGGACGAAGCGCAAGUGACGGUACCUGCAGAAGAAGCACCGGCUAACUACGUGCCAGCAGCCGCGGUAAUACGUAGGGUGCGAGCGUUGUCCGGAAUUACUGGGCGUAAAGAGCUCGUAGGCGGUUUGUCACGUCGUCUGUGAAAUCCCUCGGCUUAACCGGGGGCGUGCAGGCG